CCUACGUGAGGCAGCAGUGAGGAAUAUUGGUCAAUGGACGCAAGUCUGAACCAGCCAUGCCGCGUGCAGGCAGACGGCUCUAUGAGUUGUAAACUGCUUUUGUACGAGGGUAAACGCAGAUACGCGUAUCUGUCUGAAAGUAUCGUACGCAUAAGGAUCGGCUAACUCCGUGCCAGCAGCCGCGGUAAUACGGAGGAUUCAAGCGUUAUCCGGAUUUAUUGGGUUUAAAGUGUGCGUAGGCGGUCGGAUAAGUUAGAGGUGAAAUCCCGAGGCUCAACUUCGGAAGUGCCUCUGAUACUGGUCGGCUAGAGAGUAGGUGCGGUAGGCGGAAUGUAUGGUGUAGCGGUGAAAUGCUUAGAGAUCAUACAGAACACCGAUUGCGAAGGCAGCUUACUAAACUGCCACUGACAUUGAUGCUCGAAAGUGUGGGUAUCAAACAGGAUUAGAUACCCCGGUAGUC
rnacentral:rRNA from 1 species